rnacentral:rRNA from 1 species
ACCUGGUUGAUCCUGCCAGUAGUCAUAUGCUUGUCUCAAAGCUUAAGCCAUGCAAGUGUAAGUUCACGCCACGCAUAAGAACGGGCGAAACCGCGAAUGGCUCAGGAACCGGACCUAAUCCUCGGGACCGUAAUCCUCCUCGGAGGCGAUGGAUAACUGUGGCAAUUCUAGAGCUAAUACAUGUGACACAGGCCGCGAUCGGUCGUCGCGCCGUGGUCGCCUCGCCUUCUUGCGCGCUGGCACCCGCGACGGCCGUCUUGGGUCGCGGCGCUACAUAUUAGACUGAGACCGAUGCGCGUUAAUCCGUCCUCCCGUYGCGGUCUCUCCUCACGGGGUUUUCGCUUCGGGRYCAAAGGGCGGCGCGCUCCGCUUUGGUGACUCUGGAUAACUCACUGGUCGAUCGCACGGGCUUCACGCCCGGCGACGGGUCUCUCGAGGGUCCGCCCUAUCAACUGUCGACGGUCGGUUAAGUGCCUACCGUGGUUACUACGGGUAACGGGGAAUCGGGGUUCGAUUCCGGAGAGGGAGCAUGCGAAACGGCUACCACAUCCAAGGAAGGCAGCAGGCGCGCAAAUUACCCACUCCCGGCACGGGGAGGUAGUGACGAAAAAUAACGACGCGGGACUCUGUCGAGGCCCCGCGAUCGGAAUGAGUACACUUCAAAUCCGUUAACGAGGACCAACCGGAGGGCAAGUCUGGUGCCAGCAGCCGCGGUAAUUCCAGCUCCGGUAGCGUAUAUUAAAGUUGUUGCGGUUAAAAAGCUCGUAGUCCGAAUUCGGGUUCGUGGUCGCUCACGCGGCCCCGGGGCGGCGGCGCCAUCGUCCAUCGUUGACUUUGGUCGUCCGUUCGCAUUCCCGGCCCUUUCCGCCGGUGUCAACCGCUGUAUUGAUGGGGUCUGUUUGCUUGGUYGUUGGCGGUCAUGCGGGGUUCCUAGUUGGGGGUUUAGGGGGCUGCUGCCUCGCGCGGCGUGUUCUCGGCUUCUUUCAAAGGGCUUCGUUACGUCCUUCCCGGCGCUUUCUCUGUCGGCGGUUUCUCCUCCAAGGGUGCUCUUAAUCGAGUGUCCGCGGCGGCCGGUACGUUCACUUUGAAAAAAUUAGAGUGCUCAGAGCGGGCUGUUCAAGCUUGCAUACGAUAAGCAUGGAAUGAUGGAAGAGGGCCUCGUCUACGUCUGUCGGUCUCCGUCUACGGCGAGGCAAUGAUCGAAGGGAGCGGUCGGGGCCACUCGUAUUGCGACGUUAGAGGUGAAAUUCUUGGAUCGUCGCAAGACGAACUGCAGCGAUGGCGUGUGGCAAGCACGUUUUCCUCGAUCAAGAGCGAAAGUCGGAGGUUCGAAGACGAUCAGAUACCGUCGUAGUUCCGACCGUAAACGAUGCCGACCGGCGAUCCGCCGGCGUUCGCUUCCAUGACCCGGCGGGUAGCCUGCGGGAAACCAGAGUUCGGUUCCGGGGGGAGUAUGGUUGCAAAGCUGAAACUUAAAGGAAUUGACGGAAGGGCACCACCAGGAGUGGAGCCUGCGGCUUAAUUUGACUCAACACGGGAAAACUCACCCGGUCCGGACACCGGUAGGAUUGACAGAUCGAUAGCUCUUUCUCGAUUCGGUGGGUGGUGGUGCAUGGCCGUUCUUAGUUGGUGGAGCGAUCCGUCUGGUUGAUUCCGAUAACGAACGAGACUCCGGCCUGCUAACUAGUGCGCCGAUGUAAGUGCGGCGUCUUYGACGUCGUGUGCGGGCUCGGAAGUUGGUUUUUUAAGCCUUCUCUUCGGGUCCGGGUCGGUUUCUCACGCACUUCUUAGAGGGACGGGUGGCAGAAAGCCACACGAGGCGGAGCGAUAACAGGUCUGUGAUGCCCUUAGAUGUCCGGGGCCGCACGCGCGCUACACUGGAGGUAUCAGCGGGGACUUCGCCCCGGCCCGAGAGGGUCGGGAAACCUCUCAACCACCUCCCGUGAUAGGGAUCGGGGCCUGUAACCAACCCCGUGAACGAGGAAUUCCCGGUAGGCGCGGGUCAACAGCCCGCGUCGAUCACGUCCCUGCCCUUUGUACACACCGCCCGUCGCUACUACCGAUCGAACGGUCCGGUGAGGUCCUCGGAUCUGGCCGACGACGCCGCCGGGUUGGGCUUUCGGGUCACGCCUCGGCGUUCGAUGCCUGGAGAAGACGACCGAACCCGAUCGUUUAGAGGAAGUAAAAGUCGUAACAAGGUUUCCGUAGGUGAACCUGCGGAAGGAUCAUUA